AGAGUUUGAUCAUGGCUCAGAACGAACGCUGGCGGCAUGCCUAACACAUGCGAGUCGAACGAACCCUUCGGGGUUAGUGGCGCACGGGUGCGUAACGCGUGGGAAUCUGCCCUUUGCUUCGGAAUAACAGUUAGAAAUGACUGCUAAUACCGGAUGAUGUCUUCGGACCAAAGAUUUAUCGGCAAAGGAUGAGCCCGCGUAGGAUUAGGUAGUUGGUGGGGUAAAGGCCUACCAAGCCGACGAUCCUUAGCUGGUCUGAGAGGAUGAUCAGCCACACUGGGACUGAGACACGGCCCAGACUCCUACGGGAGGCAGCAGUGGGGAAUAUUGGACAAUGGGCGAAAGCCUGAUCCAGCAAUGCCGCGUGAGUGAUGAAGGCCUUAGGGUCGUAAAGCUCUUUUACCCGGGAUGAUAAUGACAGUACCGGGAGAAUAAGCCCCGGCUAACUCCGUGCCAGCAGCCGCGGUAAUACGGAGGGGGCUAGCGUUGUUCGGAAUUACUGGGCGUAAAGCGUACGUAGGCGGUUAUUCAAGUCAGAGGUGAAAGCCCGGGGCUCAACCCCGGAACUGCCUUUGAAACUAGGUAGCUAGAGUCUUGGAGAGGUCAGUGGAAUUCCGAGUGUAGAGGUGAAAUUCGUAGAUAUUCGGAAGAACACCAGUAGCGAAGGCGACUGACUGGACAAGUACUGACGCUGAGGUACGAAAGCGUGGGGAGCAAACAGGAUUAGAUACCCCGGUAGUCC
rnacentral:rRNA from 1 species